rnacentral:rRNA from 1 species
CCUACGGGUGGCAGCAGUGAGGAAUAUUGGUCAAUGGUCGGGAGACUGAACCAGCCAAGCCGCGUGAGGGAUGAAGGUACAGAGUAUCGUAAACCUCUUUUGUCAGGGAACAAAGGCGGGGACGUGUCCCCGGAUGAGUGUACCUGAAGAAAAAGCAUCGGCUAACUCCGUGCCAGCAGCCGCGGAAAUACGGAGGAUGCGAGCGUUAUCCGGAUUUAUGGGGUUAAAAGGGUGCGCAGGCGGUUUGUAAAGCAGGGGGUCAAAGCCCGGGGGUAAACCCCGCCCCGCCGUUGAAACUGGCAGUCUCGAGUUGGAGAGAAGUAUGCGGAAUGCGCGGUGUAGCGGUGAAAUGCAUAGAUAUCGCGCAGAACUCCGAUUGCGAAGGCAGCAUGCCGGCUCCACACUGACGCUGAGGCACGAAAGCGUGGGUAUCGAACAGGAUUAGAUACCCGAGUAGUC